GUUGCAGGGGUUCCGAGGCGGACCUGGGGAGCAGAAACCCCUGUUUAGGGUGAACCGUGGCGGGCGCCGAUGGCCUCUUGGAAGAGGACAGACUAGCAGCUGCGAGGGAGAUGGGACUGGGUUUCACCCCUGAAAGGGCCCCUGGAGACAGCGGGUGAGGGACAGGGGAAGGGGCUGGUGGUCCUCUCUCCCGAGGCCCCGCACCAUCACACGGAUGACUUGGCACAAUAGCUGCUGGGCCAGUGUUGUCGCCUGUGACUGUACUUUAGGGAAACUGACAGGGAGAUCAUGAUGUCGCCAUUUUGAUGGGGUCCCCAGAGGAGAGAUGUCCUCCCCAACGGCUCCUGGACAGGACUGGGGAAAGAGUUCAGAUAAGUAUCUCUGUGGUCUGGGCUGUCACCUUACAACUGCACAACUCUGGACCUCCAGCAUCAGAACCACUGGGGCCUAGGUUAAUAAUACAGAUUUUCAGGCUCCAAUUUGGACAGACGAAACUGAUCUCUGGGGUGGGACCCAGGAAUCUACGUGUAAACAAGCACCCAGGGGAGUUCUGCUCACUGAAAUUUGAGAAUCCCUGAUUUAGAAGGAGGACUAUGCUCUGUGCAUGUUCUCUGAAAUGUUGGGUCAAUCAGGACCUGUCUACUGAAACUGCUCCAACCAGCCAAGGUGCAGAGAAAAGAUGCGUGCAGGGCCGAAAACCAGGGUGCUCUGGAGGCAGGGAGCCCUCGAGAAUGUAAAGCCAGCAAGCUGUUACAGAGUGAUUUGCACAGAACAGACACUCAGUUGAUAUUUGUCAAUUUGCUGUGUUUAAGAACCUUGCUGAAUUAAUUUAAAAGGUAUUUUUAAAAGAAUGAAAUUGAGGAAAAAACCUUCAAGGUUCAGAAAAUGUGAAGUUCUCAUUUACUUGUUUAUGAAAUUGUUUUUGAGUCCAAUAAAGAUGCUCAGCUAAAAUGGUUUUUUUGUUUUAAAUCUCAGAAUUAAGUUUCUCUUAGUUUUGGGCAGUUCGGUCCAGCUACUUGCAAAAGACAGGCUUCCAUAUCUCCUGUAUGCAGCCCUGAAGGACCCAACAGAAGUAAAAUAGUUAUUUAAGGAAUGCAAAGGACUAGGGACAGGAUGCAGAUUAAAAUGUUUAAGAUGAUGUCUGCAGAUGAUGUUUGUAGAUGCUUAAGUUUGUUGAAUUCUUAGUCUUCCUCACAAAGCAGCUAAUUACUUUCAAGACUCUAGUGAGCCUCAAUUUACUCCAAUUUAUGAUUUCCAAUGGUUCUGCAUAAAACUGGGUUGCCGUUUUAUGAAAUUGUUUGCAUCUGCUUGACGUGGGCGCAAACUUCACAGUGAGGAGAUAAUGUGAGGGUUUUGCCUUCUUGCAAAACAACUUACAUAUAUAUGUGAAAAAACUGGGGUUGGGGUUUGAAUUAUGUGGACUGCCUGUGCGUAGUAAGCUCUCUGGUCAGUUACCUAUUUGGCUUUGUGUGGACACAGCUCUUAGGAGGGAGGGUGGUGGAAUUCCUGCUCAUUACCUAUAGUAUCUUGCAGGAGGGCUGCUGAACGCCGGAGCCUUACAACUGUUAAACUCAGGCAGAGCUCGGGAAAUGCUGCCCGGAUGGGUGACUGAUGGAGAGGGGCUACCACUCUUCCAGCUAAACUCCGCUCUGGUUGGGACCCAGCAAUUAUUUUCCAUAGCGAAGUGUUAAUAAAAUAUCUGUUACUCCCAACACAACCUCCUGGGGGAAGGGACCUGUCUGUCUGCUUCAACUUUGGAUCCUCAGUGCCCACAUCAGGAUACCUGGCCUGAGAGAGGGUCCUGCCGGUAUUACCCUGGAGGAAGGAAUGCUGCACAGAGGCCGAGAGGAAUUUGAACAGACUGGCCUUGCUGGGUUUUUAUCUCUUUUUGUCCAAUCCCAUUUUGACACAGUUGUCCAUGCUCCAAUCAUGCUUAUCCAAUGAAGUUUCCAUAACAGGCCUGAGAGGACAGGGUUCAGGAGCUUCCGGACAGCUGAGCAGGUGGAGGUUCCUGGAGGGUGGUGUGCCAGGGAGGGUGUGGAAGCUCUGCCCCUUCCCCCAUACCUUGUCCUAUGCAUUCCUUUAUCUGCAUCCUUCAUUUUAUUUUAUUUUUUUUUGAGACGGAGUCUUGCUCUUGUCGUCCAGGCUGGAAUGCAGUGGUGCGCGA
rnacentral:lncRNA from 1 species